AUUGAACGCUGGCGGAAUGCUUUACACAUGCAAGUCGAACGGCAGCACGGACUUCGGUCUGGUGGCGAGUGGCGAACGGGUGAGUAACGCGUAGGAAUAUACCUUAAAGAGGGGGAUAACUUGGGGAAACUCAAGCUAAUACCGCAUAAGCUCUGAGGAGUGAAGCUGGGGACCGUAAGGCCUGGCGCUUUGAGAUUAGCCUGCGUCCGAUUAGCUAGUUGGUGGGGGAAGGGCCUACCAAGGCGACGAUCGGUAGCUGGUCUGAGAGGAUGAUCAGCCACACUUGAACUGAGACACGGUCCAGACUCCUACGGGAGGCAGCAGUGGGGAAUAUUGGACAAUGGGGGGAACCCUGAUCCAGCAAUGCCGCGUGUGUGAAGAAGGCCUGAGGGUUGUAAAGCACUUUCAGUGGGGAGGAGGAUGUAUAGGUUAAGAGCUAAUAUAUUGGACGUUACCCACAGAAGAAGCACCGGCUAACUCCGUGCCAGCCGCCGCCGUAA
rnacentral:rRNA from 1 species